UACGUAGGGUGCAAGCGUUAAUCGGAAUUACUGGGCGUAAAGCGUGCGCAGGCGGUUGUGCAAGACCGAUGUGAAACGUACCCCGGCGUUAACCUGGGGAAUGGCAUUGGUGACUGCACGGCUAGAGUGUGUCAGGAGGGGGGUAGAAUUCCACGUGUAGCAGUGAAAUGCGUAGAGAUGUGGAGGAAUACCGAUGGCGAAGGCAGCCCCCUGGGAUAACACUGACGCUCAUGCACGAAAGCGUGGGGAGCAAAAGGG
rnacentral:rRNA from 1 species